GGGCCCGCACAAGCAGCGGAGCAUGUGGUUCAAUUCGACGCAACGCGAAGAACCUUACCGAGGCUUGACAUGCACAGGAAUGUCGUAGAAAUACGGCAGCCCUUCGGGGCCUGUGCACAGGUGGUGCAUGGCUGUCGUCAGCUCGUGUCGUGAGAUGCUGGGUUAAGUCCCGCAACGAGCGCAACCCCUGUCCUAUGUUGCCAUCACUUCGGGUGGGGACUCAUAGGAGACUGCCGGUGACAAAUCGGAGGAAGGUGGGGAUGACGUCAAGUCAUCAUGCCCCUUACGCCUCGGGCUACACACGUGCUACAUUGGCCGGUACAGAGGGCUGCAAACCCGUGAGGGGGAGCGAAUCCCAAAAAGCCGGUCCCGGUUCGGAUUGGAGGCUGAAACUCGCCUCCAUGAGGGCGGAGUUGCUAGUAAUCGCGGAUCGGCAACGCCGCGGUGAAUACGUUCUCGGGCCUUGUACACACCGCCCGUCACACCACGGAAGCCGGUAACACCCGAAGUCGGUGUCCUAACCCGCAAGGGAGGGAGCCGCCGAAGGUGGGAUUGGUGACUGGGGAG
rnacentral:rRNA from 1 species